CGAGAUAGCCCCGCCCCUUUCCCCCUUGUGGCUUUGCGGCCGCAAAGUGGACCUCGAAAGCAGUGCCUGUGUCCCGGGCGUAUCCUCUGACUGUUGUCGUGGCUGUCUCGGUCCACAGGACGACUGCUCGUGCGCUCUCGGAUGUGGAAAAUUAAGCGGACAUGGGGGGUCUCGGCCCCUGGUUGCUCCCAAUCAAGUCCCUCGAUAGGAAUGACUUUCGAGAUACCUCAUUGAUCGCAGGCCGUCUAGGCCCGUGGCAUCAAUGCGGGUCCGAAGUCGAGAAAGGAUGCUACC
rnacentral:misc_RNA from 1 species